AUCCUUCUAGUUCAUGAAAAUGAUGAACGGGUUAAUCACUGCGCGUCAGUGAGAUGUGUCGCCUUAUAAUCCUUGUUACACAAAGGCACAACACCCUUCUGAUU